rnacentral:lncRNA from 1 species
UUUUCUUUCCAACUCCUUCUUGCCGACAUUAUUCACGUCGGCCAUAAAGUAUCCUUGGUCGGCUUCGAUAUUUUCGGCCACCCCAUCCUCUCUCCAAAUCACCAUCCUUUGGUGUGCUGAAGAUGGUACAGCUCCGACGCCAUGUAGCCACUCUCUGCCAAGUAGCAAGUUGUAACUUGGCUUAGCGUCUAUCACCAUGCAUAGUGUCGGUCUGGUCACUGAACCCACUGUGAUAUUCACC